CCGAGUUUACAACUCCCAAACCCAAUGUGAACGUACCAACUGUUGCCUCGGCGGGAUCUCUGCCCCGGGUGCGUCGCAGCCCCGGACCAGGCGCCCGCCGGAGGACCAACCAAAACUCUUAUUGUAUACCCCCUCGCGGGUUGUUUUAUAAUCUGAGCCUCUCGGCGCCUCUCGUAGGCGUUUCGAAAAUGAAUCA
rnacentral:misc_RNA from 1 species